rnacentral:rRNA from 1 species
UACGAGGGCUCCAAGCGUUAUCCGGAUUUAUUGGGCGUAAAGGGUCCGUAGGCGGUUUUUCGCAUCUCCUGUUAAAGCCCGAGGCUCAACCUCGGAACAGCGGGAGAGAUGGACAAACUAGAGGCCGGAAGAGGCAAAUGGAAUUGCUGGUGUAGGGGUUAAAUCCGUUAAUAUCAGCAGGAACACCAAAUGCGAAAGCAGUUUGCUGGAACGGUCCUGACGCUAAGGGACGAAAGCGUGGGUAG